CCUACGGGCGGCAGCAGUGGGGAAUAUUGCACAAUGGGGGAAACCCUGAUGCAGCGACGCCGCGUGAGCGAUGAAGUAUUUCGGUAUGUAAAGCUCUAUCAGCAGGGAAGAAAAUGACGGUACCUGACUAAGAAGCCGCGGCUAACUACGUGCCAGCAACCGCGGUAAUACGUAGGGGGCAAGCGUUAUCCGGAUUUACUGGGUGUAAAGGGAGCGUAGACGGCGGUGCAAGCCAGCUGUGAAAGCCUGGGGCUCAACCCCGGGACUGCAUUUGGAACUGGGCUGCUAGAGUGUCGGAGGGGCAGGCGGAAUUCCUAGUGUAGCGGUGAAAUGCGUAGAUAUUAGGAGGAACUCCAGUGGCGAAGGCGGCCUGCUGGACGAUGACUGACGUUGAGGCUCGAAAGCGUGGGGAGCAAACAGGAUUAGAUACCCCUGUAGUC
rnacentral:rRNA from 1 species